AUAGGGAAGAGAAAGAAAGAGAUAACAUAAGAGCACUAGGAAUGGGAACAUGGAGGGAAGUGUAACUUUUUUGUUUUCACCCCUCAUGUUGGAGGUGCAAAUAAUUAGUUUUUUGCUUUCCUAAUGUCUCCAAUUCCUAUGGUUCUUGAGCACUCCUUCCUCCCCACCUCCCUU
rnacentral:pre_miRNA from 1 species